UACCCAACCCCGCCCGCCAAUGGUCCCCGUCCUCUCGGUCUGCCCGCAGCCGCCUGCCCCGGCCGCUCACCAGCUCUUCUUAGCCCGCCAGCGUGCUGCGCCUGUGCACCGUGCUACCCCAGCACCCUCCCGGGGCCAAGUGUCCACUGGUGCCAUUUUUGGAGGCAGAGACAGAGCCGGCCAUAACUCUCCGAGCACAGCGGCACAUCCUGAGUGCAGUGGCAUCACGUUCCAUCAGUACAACUCCAGAUUCUACAGCAUAGAAAUGAACAACAACCACAACCACAAGAAAUAAUUAUUAUGUCUUCAGGAGUGGAGUACCCAGGGAGCCAUCCCAGGACAAUGGUUUAUUACUCAGUCUGACAGAAACAUACCUACUGCUGAAUUCCAGAGCAUUGGAUCUUUCUCAGGCCAAUGAUUUUGGAAAUCUACAUGGUCUGGAGAUGAAAUAAGACUAAAUGAAUGUGUGACAAAGGAGCCCCGCAGGAGGAGAAGUUGUUUUGAUGGUGCAGCAGCAGCAGCGGUAGAGACGAGACUACAUGGCAUACGUCUCAAACUCCCCACCGGGCACCAUGUCUUCCAACAAAGAAACAGUUUCUUCCGGUGCAGCCACGGGAAGGAGACCUUGCUGUAAUUUCUAACUCUUCGUUCUAUUACCAUUUUUCAUUACAUUCCACGUGGCUCUGGAAUCAAAUUUCUAUCUCAAGGGUCAUACAUGGCAUAAUGUGUCUGGUUUCUCCAAACAAACUGGAAGACAAGCACAGAGGAGAGCUACAGGGAGAGAAACAGAGACAAGAGGAGAUGGAAAUCUACAGUUGUCUCCCUGGUCACAGCUGCCAAACGGGGACUGAUCUUUUGUAAGGCUUGGAGGCCGCCCUAAUGACCUAAGCCAGAAGAGAGGGAACCUCUUUAGCAGUCCAUGAUGAGAUCAAUUCCUUCUAGAUAAUCCAUGGGGAUUUAUCAUGCCAGUGCUUUUUAGUCACAAAACCUUUCGAACACCUCCAGGAGCAUGAUACUUCAAGUGUGUGCAGUGGUUUCUUGAAAAGAAGUGUACUCUGCAUCUUGAAACAUCCUCCCCCUCAGACCUGUCAUAUGAUUGAGCCAUGGUGUCUAAGAGCAAAGUGGGAGAUACAAGAGAAAUAAUUGUCAUUUUAUACAUCUUCACAUAACCAUUAAAAAGCCUUUGUAGCUGUUAUCCCUGUCUUCUAUGAUGAGCUCUACGUAUGACAUUUUGAAAACAAUGAUAGAUUAUAAAUUCAUACAUAGGUUAAACAAAUCCUGAGGCAUUUGGACAGGCCUGACAAAUUUCUUUUAUACCACUUGCAUAAGCAUGUAUAGCUAAUAACAAAGUGAGUGAUAGUCCGAAGUUUACAACACUCACGACGCAGUUAGGUAUUCCUUUAUCUGUAUAGAAAAUACCCUCAUGUACUGUGAGUUGUCUGAAGGCUGUUGACUGUAGUUGAGUGUCACCAAAGUAAGGUGCAACUUGGCACUGCCUCUAAAAGGGCAGAAAGUUCUUCAGUUAGAGCAUUACAGGCUGCCGCAGAGUUCGAGAGGAAAGACAGCCAGUAUCUCCCCUGCUGAAGCUGAAUACACAAUUAAUCCCUUCAGUCUGGUGGCUGAACUCACUUAAAACACCUCUUCAGAAAAUGCAGUCAGGAAGUCAGCGGUGAACGGAAUCAAGAGCCUCAUCUACUUGAAUUUUCAGAUAAAAUCUUGACACCCUGGCUUGCUGCAGAAGAGUUCUCUUUAAGAAAAGCACUUUGCCGUAUGAUAGAAAUGCAAAAUUUACCCACUUUUCUCCACAGUUCCUGUAAUGUGGUUCUCUUAUUUGUGUGAGAGAACAUGCAUCCCAAGCAAGGACAUAUAUUUUCUAUUUUUAGGGUUAGUGCAAUAAGCAGGUAGGAUCAAAUUCGCAUGUGCACAGAGUGCCUAUACAGAACCUCUGUGUAAGGACAUGAGAAUUAGCGUUCGGCUGCAGAUGCUUGCAGAAGGGUGGCAGGACAGACUGCAUAUGCCAGCCAAAUUAAGAUGCAUGCAAAUGGAGAACGCUAUAAACUACAGCUCUGAACGAAGCACUACUAAUUUGGGGUGAAACAUUGAAUCCUUUUGCAGGUUGUAACUUCUCUGCCUAUGUCAGUAUAAAAUCAACUUGAUCUGAAUCCUUUCUGUCUGUCCAUUCCGUAAGGUGUCCAGAAUGAAAAUGUGAAUCCAAAAUUUCCAAUAUGUGAUGGUGGACGUGGCUCUGAGACAAAUCAAUUCAUAAGAAGCCACCACAGAAGAGCUGAUCCAUUUUAAUGAAAAGUUUCUGUUUAUAGUGGAAUAACUAAUCAAGAACCACUCCCUUAGACAACUAUAUUUAUUAAUACAACAUAGCUUUCAGUUUUUUUUCUUAAAAUCAAUCUCUGAAACAUUCAGUAUUAGCCAGGGCUAUAGCCACAAAUGCACUGAAUUGCUGUUGACUUAAAUGUAUAGGAUUUGGGUAGCUCUGUUCUGUUCAUGGGUCUCCAGUUAGUGGUGAUACUUAAUGUACUGGGUACUAAAUUCUAUGUAAAAUCCGUCUUGUACAGUAGGUGCCAAGAACUGUAAAUUACGGUCAUAAGCUUCUUGGAAAAACGUGUUUUAUCUCUGGGUUUUUAAAAUAAAACUAAAUGUUCUUUAGAGAACCUACUCUAGCUGUCUGUGGUUGUUAACUGGAGCUACAUCUUAAUGCCAUGAGUGAAAAAUAGUCAUGUUCAAUGGGCGAAGCAAUAUGCUUAAUGCAGAUGUAAGCAAAGCCUUUAUCUGAAACCUGAUGUGAAUAAAAGUCUUACCAGCCAUUUAUUUCUGAGGUUUUGAGGCACAUAGUGAAGAUACAGAUAAUCUCAUGCAUUGCCAUUUAUUGGUUUCUAAAGACUUUUUCCUACUCUGUAGAAGAGCAGCACUUAGCUUCCACAGAAAUUGGGACUGCAUUGUCUUAGCUGCAGUGUAAGUGAGAAGAGUUAGUCCUGGAUUUAGAGCUUCCAGUCUGCAUUAGUAAAAGAAACAAUCAAAGAAAUAUCAUUUUUAAAGAUGAGAAACCGAGGCUGCUUUUCUACAGCGCUUCUCUAUUAUGUUGCCUCCUUGCCUUUGUCAACUUUUUGGCUCUUCAUGUUGGGGACUGUUUUGUUUUCUCUACACAACACCAUGUGCAGCUGGGUGCCGCACUGAAAGGCCAGCAGGGCUGAGAACUUACACAGAUUUGUUGAGUACCAACUGUGAGGAUUUAGUCACAAGAACAACUUAUUCUUGUGCAGUACUGCUUAGGGAUGUGGGAUCAUUGCAAACACUGUUUUCCAAUGGUCUUUUGAAAAAGAGUGACAUGGGAAAGCACUAGUUAUAGAGAUUAUAUUCUGAGAAUGAACAUAUGAAUUGGACCAGCAUAUUUUUCAAGUGUUUCUACUUUUGUUUGUUUGUUUGUUUGUUUAAGGGCUUGAGAUCUGCAGUAGUGACCAAAAUAUAGCAGACUUUUAUGCAUCCAUUGACAUUAGCUGUUUUGUGUCUGGCAAUUUAUCUGCUUUUUCCUCUCUAUGGCCCUUUGAUUUGAUGUCAGCAUUAAGUUUCUGCAAAGGAUGCCUCUUUUUGCCACCCCGACUACACAAAAGCCUGUUUUGCUUGUCAGCCAGGAUAUUGCGGCAAACCUACACUGGUUAUUUCACGUGGAGGACAGAGGCACUGGCAGGGGUCAGGCUGCCCCUCGGCAUGGUAUAGAAAGCACAGGGAGAUCUGUGAGCUUUGUGCUGACCUGACCUGUCCUGAGGAUGAUCUGGCGCCCAGCCCCGGUGAAAAGGAGAGGGCUCCUACAGAACAAAUUCACCCGCUAUCACAAAGGCAGAGAACUUGGCAAUGACACAGCCUUGGAAAACUUGUUUUUGACACAGUCACUCACAGGAAAUUAUACUUUCCUUGGCUUUGCUGUGAGCAGAUUGCUAAGUGCCCAUAAUCUGAACUUUAGAUAAAAUCAAUUGCUAUUUUGGAAGAAAUAGC